AUUGAACGCUGGCGGAAUGCUUUACACAUGCAAGUCGAGCGGCAGCACGGGGGCAACCCUGGUGGCGAGCGGCGAACGGGUGAGUAACACAUCGGAACAUGCCCAGUCGUGGGGGAUAACACUUCGAAAGAAGUGCUAAUACCGCAUACGUCCUGAGGGAGAAAGCGGGGGAUCGCAAGACCUCGCGCGAUUGGAGUGGCCGAUGUCAGAUUAGCUAGUUGGUGGGGUAAAGGCCUACCAAGGCAACGAUCUGUAGCUGGUCUGAGAGGAUGAUCAGCCACACUGGGACUGAGACACGGCCCAGACUCCUACGGGAGGCAGCAGUGGGGAAUGUUGGACAAUGGGGGCAACCCUGAUCCAGCCAUUCCGCGUGAGUGAAGAAGGCCUUCGGGUUGUAAAGCUCUUUCGGCAGGAACGAAACGGUGAGCUCUAACAUAGCUUGCUAAUGACGGUACCUGAAAAAGAAGCACCGGCUAACUACGUG
rnacentral:rRNA from 1 species